AGCGAACGCUGGCGGCAGGCCUAACACAUGCAAGUCGAACGAACUCUUCGGAGUUAGUGGCGGACGGGUGGGUAACACGUGGGAACGUGCCUUUAGGUUCGGAAUAACUCAGGGAAACUUGUGCUAAUACCGAAUGUGCCCUUCGGGGGAUAGAUUUAUCGCCUUUAGAGCGGCCCGCGUCUGAUUAGCUAGUUGGUGAGGUAACGGCUCACCAAGGCGACGCACAUUAGCUGGUCUGAGAGGAUGACCUGCCACACUGGGACUGAGACACGGCCCAGACUCCUACGGGAGGCAGCAGUGGGGAAUCUUGCGCAAUGGGCGAAAGCCUGACGCAGCCAUGCCGCGUGAAUGAUGAAGGUCUUAGGAUUGUAAAAUUCUUUCACCGGGGACGAUAAUGACGGUACCCGGAGAAGAAGCCCCGGCUAACUUCGUGCCAGCAGCCGCAGUAAGAC
rnacentral:rRNA from 1 species